rnacentral:rRNA from 1 species
AUUGAACGCUGGCGGCAGGCCUAACACAUGCAAGUCGAGCGGGGUUUUCGGACCUAGCGGCGGACGGGUGAGUAAUGCGUAGGAAGCUGCCCGAUAGAGGGGGAUACCAGUUGGAAACGACUGUUAAUACCGCAUAAUGUCUACGGACCAAAGUGUGGGACCUUCGGGCCACAUGCUAUCGGAUGCGCCUACGUGGGAUUAACUAGUUGGUGAGGUAAUGGCUCACCAAGGCGACGAUCUCUAGCUGGUUUGAGAGGAUGAUCAGCCACACUGGAACUGAGACACGGUCCAGACUCCUACGGGAGGCAGCAGUGGGGAAUAUUGGACAAUGGGCGCAAGCCUGAUCCAGCCAUGCCGCGUGUGUGAAGAAGGCCUUCGGGUUGUAAAGCACUUUCAGCGAGGAGGAAGGGUGGUGUGUUAAUAGCACAUCAUUUUGACGUUACUCGCAGAAGAAGCACCGGCUAACUCUGUACCAGCCGCCGCUGUAAUAC